CGCUAAGAUUUAAGACCUUUUAAAAGGUAAGUAGUGAUCUAAAAGGUCUUGUAUUAGUUUGAAGAGGGAGCACAUAAUAAGACUGUAAGCCAGUACAUCAAAGUAAUGACGGCUUCCCAUUGAUUUCAUCAAACUAAUAUGACAAAGGGAAGGUGAAACUUCAGAAAACCAUAUAAAUUGACCACGAUGUCUUAAUUUAAAACUCUGAAAUGAAGUAAUAAACAUUAAGUCUGAAUGUUGUCACUAAAAAAGCAUAAAAAAAGCAGACCAGCCAGGAGUGCAUCAUAAUCAGUGGUUCAUCAUGCGCAAACCAGGCAGCAGUAGCCUAAUAACUUAGACGGAAAAAAUGCAAGAAGUCAAAGCACAAGGUGGGAAAUAGGACCGAGCAUUGACAGGUAACCAAAUAAUGAAAGAAUAUCCCCAUGAAAAUCAAGAACGGUACAUUAGCAUCCAGAAGUACAUAGAAACAAACAUUCCGCUUGGCAGAGUGUGAUCUCAGUAUGAUGUCAAUAGCUGGGACUAAGAAGGUAACCACGUAGAGUGUCACACCUAAGGCGUUUGCUUACGUCUCUAGUCUCUAGUAAUACAACUCACUAUUGAUUGAUUUAACUAAGGUAUUCUUCAGCUGGGUAUUUAUAAAGGGAAUUCACUAUGCUUUUUUACCAGCGAGUAGAGAGCAACUGAAGGACUUAUGUUUCUAAAUGCAAGAACAAACCUCACCAGGCUGCUGUGCAGACUUAUUGUCCGUGGAAGAUGCUACAGCUGAGCAAAAUUGGCUUGGGAUUUCUUCUAUGCCUGCUGCUCCCUCCUGCAGCAAUUAUUUGGAACAACAAAACAAUUUACUGUGAGAUGAGAGAAGGCACACUAAAGAAGCACAUCCAUAAGUGUAUAUCUAAUAAUAUAGAUGCUACAAAUCAAUAGAACUAAAAUACUCCAGCAAUUGGGAUCAGCUAGAUCUAUGUCUACAUCACCAAAUCAGAAGUUUAGUUACCUGUGGUUCGCUUGAUAGCAGUUGCAGGUUUUCAUGCGCUGAACUCAAGAACCGACCAGCAGCGACCAAAUCUAAGCACAACCAUCCCUCACAAUUUGAAUUCUACCCCAGCAAGUACAGACACGUCCUCUGCAACCUCAUACAGGUACGAAAGCGUCAUAAAGCACACCGCACUACGCCGCCACCACGACCUCCAAAACAUGUAUAACGACUGAAAUAAGCGGACGCAUUCUGUUCACACACAAGCAUGACAUAUAAGUGGGACGAGGCCGAACAAUACACGAUGGCGUGCCAGAUCUAGAAAAUUAAAAUGAUCAGUAAUUUAAACACCAUGACAACACAUAUAGGAAAGGAAAUAUGCAUUUUAGCUAGACAGAAAGCAAGCUAACCUCGAUGACAGAACAGAGAUGAAACAAAGCAGAAGAUCGGGACGCAGCAACACAAGAGAUCGCAGAACCUAAUAAAUAAAUGGACAUGAAGUGGUCAGUGCACCGGCAUGCUAUGGAAUAGACAGGUAAAAGAAGAGUCGUUCCCCAUGUUGGGGAUCGUUGCAGAAUUUUAAAAUUUUAUACGCAUCACCAAGAUCCAUCUAUGGAGUUUACUAGCAAUGAGAGGGAAGGAGUGCAUCUACAUACCCUUGUAGAUCGCGAGCGGAAGCGUUCAAGUGAACGGGGUUGAUGGAGUCGUACUCGUCGUGAUCCAAAUCACCGAUGACCGAGCGCCGAACGGACGGCACCUCCGCGUUCAACACACGUACGGAGCAGCGACGUCUCCUCCUUCUUGAUCCAACAAGGGGAAAGAGAGGUUGAUGGAGAUCCAGCAGCACGACGGCGUGGUGGUGGAAGUAGCGGGAGGGAGAGGUGUCACGGGAGGGAGAGGGAGGCGCCAGGGGCUAGGGUGCGGCUGCCCUCCCUCCCCCCUUUAUAUAGGCCCCUUGGGGGGGCGCCGGCCCUGGGAUCCCAUCUACAUGGGGGGCAGCGGCCAAGGGGGGAAACUUCCCCCCAAGUCAGGUGGGGCGCCCCCCACCCCCAGGGUUUCCAACCCUAGGCGCAGGGGGAGGCCCAUGGGGGGCGCACCAGCCCACCAGGGGCUGGUUCCCCUCCCACUUCAGCCCAUGGGGCCCUCCGAGAUAGGUGGCCCCACCCGGUGGACCCCCGGGACCCUUCCGGUGGUCCCGGUACAAUACUGAUAACCCUCGAAACUUUCCCGGUGGCCGAAACUGGACUUCCUAUAUAUAAUUCUUCACCUCCGGACCAUUCCGGAACUCCUCGUGACGUCCGGGAUCUCAUCCGGGACUCCGAACAACUUUCAGGUUUCCGCAUACUAAUAUCUGUACAACCCUAGCGUCACCGAACCUUAAGUGUGUAGACCCUACGAAUUCGGGAGACACGCAGACAUGACCGAGAUGACUCUCCGGUCAAUAACCAACAGCGGGAUCUAGAUACCCAUGUUGGCUCCCACAUGUUCCACGAUGAUCUCAUCGGAUGAACCACGAUGUCGAGGAUUCAAUCAAUCCCGUAUAAAUUCCCUUUGUCAAUCGGUACGUUACUUGCCCAAGACUCGAUCAUCGGUAUCCCAAUACCUCGUUCAAUCUCGUUACCGGCAAGUCACUUUACUCGUACCGUAACGCAUGAUCCCGUGACCAACCACUUGGUCACAUUGAGCUCAUUAUGAUGAUGCAUUACCGAGUGGGCCCAGAUAUACCUCUCCGUCAUACGGAGUGAUAAAUCCCAGUCUCGAUCCGUGUCAACCCAACAGACACUUUCAGAGAUACCUAUAGUGUACCUUUAUAGUCACCCAGUUACGUUGUGACGUUUGGUACAUCCAAAGCACUCCUACGGCAUCCGGGAGUUACACGAUCUCAUGGUCUAAGGCAAAGAUACUUGACAUUGGAAAAGCUCUAGCAAACGAACUACACGAUCUUUGUGCUAUGCUUAGGAUUGGGUCUUGUCCAUCACAUCAUUCUCCUAAUGAUGUGAUCCCGUUAUUAAUGACAUCCAAUGUCCAUAGUCAGUAAACCAUGACUAUCUGUUUAUCAACGAGCUAGUCAACUAGAGGCUCACCAGGGACAUGUUGUGGUCUAUGUAUUCACACAUGUAUUACGAUUUUCAGAUAACACAAUUAUAGCAUGAACAAUAGACAAUUAUCAUGAACAAGAAAAUAUAAUAAUAACCAUUUUAUUAUUGCCUCUAGGGCAUAUUUCCAACACCCCAUAUAAAUUAAAGAACGGUCCAUUUACCUGAGUUAGAGAGGAGAAGCAGGCAAGCAGAGCAGCCAAGAUGGAUGAGCAUACGAAGGACGAGCAGCCGGCAAAACCAAACGCAAAAACAGAAACCAAAUAGAGAUCAAUUUCCAGCUGAACCAGUAGAUUCACUCCUUCAGGUAUACAUCCUAAUUGGUCCUACAAAGAACACAAGAAAUUAGAGGAUGGAACUUGACUGCCUUCUGUAUCAUUUGAAGGAUGAACUUGACUGCCUAUUAAAACUAGUAAGUGUGCACGUGCAACGCACGAUAGCACAAUAGGAAAAAAAUACAUUCAUAUGAGCCAACAAAAAACAUCACAUGUAAAUUUCUAGAAAAUACUUUGGUAAGAUUUACAAACCUUCCUAGUUGCAUAUUGCAAUGCAUAGAAAACAUCUAAUUAUUGUAACAAAUGAUUAGGCAUCCAAAAAUCUAAUAGCCUGAAUGAGCUGUAAUCAUCUGAAGCAUCAGAUAAAAUUAUAUUCAUGUGGACAAAAUUGAUUAUACAAGUACAAUGUUUCAUUUCAUCGCAAAAAAGUACAAUAUUCCAUUCAUGAUAUCCUUAAGUAUGCACACCCCAAUAGAAUCAUGUAUAUCCACAUUACAUUGCAAAAACAAGUAUUUUUGUAUUACGUCUUGAAGGAAGUACACUCAUAUUCAGGCGCAAACAAACAUAUGGGAGGCCCAAAACCGCAUCUCCCAUCAUCCAUGAACAACUCUAACAAAAGCAGGUUCCCUCAUCCUCACUAACUCUCUGAUCGUUCCCUAAAAAAACUAACUCUGGUCUUGAAUGUGGUCUCAUGCCAAUGUACAAGCUCCAAGGCUUACAAAUAUGUCACAUCUUUUGAAUGGCACGCAUAAAAAUCAAGAAUUCCAUUGUCCGCCCUCAUUAAGUCUAGUAUUUUCUCUUUUUUGCCAUGAAAACUUCAGGAACUUGAGGCGUCCAAUUUCUACUUUUUCAGUGUUAGCUUGCCACAAUGUGUAUGCUACAACAGAAAAUUAGCUGAAAAUCUAAUCAUCUACAACUUCAAAAAUACAAAUGAUUAGAAUAUUUGGCAGAGGCAUGAAUUGUGUAGUAGUGAGACUUCCUGCCAUAAUAAUUAGAAGUACAAAGGAGGAGCAAACAUCAUUAAUGAAAGAGCUUAAAAGAAACCUGCGAGUUUUAUGGCACAUAUCAACACUGACACACUUAAAAUGUUCAUCACAACAAGAAUAAUUAAAAAGAUCAGGAAUGCAAAUUACGGGUUUCGAAUUUACAUCCUAAAAAGGUAUAAUAAAUUCUUGUCAAUUGUAACUGGUAGCAUCCACAAUAGUAGAAACUGGAAUCUCAAAACUGAUAUGCAUACAGGCUCAGAAUUAUUAUAUAGUUCAUAGAAGAAUACAUGUUUUCUAAUUUACGUAGCAUUGUUGUUCCUCGUUCCCACGGUAAAUCUGUACCCCCGGACCAAAAUCAAGCUACCAAAGCUAGCAACCCUUUUCCAAGCUCUAUGAGCAUGAGAAGGGUAAAAAUAGAAGGACAUGACUUUGGUAACUUAUGUGAGAAGAUGUGCUACUAAUAUUUACAGCCUUGUACGUACCUCCAUAUUGGAGGGAAAGUACAGAAAUGUGAUUGCACUGAUAUGCAGUAUAACUCACCAAGUUACCAUCUGAGCACUACUCGGUGAAUGAUACUUCAAUAUGUGUUUUAGGUUACUGACACAUUCUUCAUCUCCAGAAUUUUCGAAGUUCCGAAAUUAAUUAUCAAGAUCUGAAGUCAUAUAGCCAUUUCCCGCAGAAAGAACAAACUCAUGAUGGCACAAACACGCAAGAUGAAACCAGUAAAAUCUUGGCACUAUAUAAUCUCAUGAAUUAAGAGAAAAAUAUUGAGUUACCAAAUAUUUUCAGAAAAAAAAGCAAUCCAACAGAAGAGAGGCGGCAGGAAGUUGUUCAUAUUGAUUGAUAGCACUCCAUAUGCUUUCAACAGUAAAGGAGAAAGUAGAACCGGAAAAAGUUAAUGAGAAGUUUGAUGACAUCUCUCUUUUUGGAUGUUGCACAUGUAUAUAUAUUGACCAUGAAGUCAUAGCUGGUAAGAGAGAUUCAAUUUUGUCAACUAUUGAACCUACAUACCACAAACAUUUGAUAUGAACGUUAAUAAAAAAAUAUGGAGAAUAUUAGAAUGUAGAUAUGGAAAACCCCUAUGCAGCAAGCCACAAAUUUGUAGGCGUCAAAUUUAAAUGCUCUCUUGUUUAGUACAGGAGAUACAAUUGCAGACCUACAAAGUGAGAGUUGGAAAAUUAACAAUAGGUAGGUCAUCUAUACCAGGUUGUCGCCAAUAGACGAUUGCCCAAGCUUGUUGGUUUGCCUUUUUCCUUCACAAGCUCCACAUAAUCACCUGUCGAAAGAACAAGUUCACAUCUUGAUAAUUAAACAUCACUUCAUGACCAUCCGUUCACUUAUUAGAUUUAAAAAGAUAUAUACAGAUGAGUAUUAGAUCAAUACUCUGCUACAACAACUGAAUUGGCAUAAGCGUCGUCAAAUCAGGAUAGUUGCGGCUGUUUGAUAUUGACUAACAAUUUUUCAUUGAAGUUUUCAUACUGUUUCUUAUCCAAGACAUGAUGUAUACAAGUAUUUUUCAUAUCUGUUACUCAUCUAUACGCCUUUUAGUCUCUUUCUCAAAAAAAAUUGUAGCUGAUGCAAUGGAGAACACAGAUUAGGUUGCAUGACAAUACAUAAGUUUGAUAGUUAUUUGUGAAAAGGUACAAAAAAAUUAGAAUAGGUGGAGUGCUUAAGUAUCAACACCACUGCUAAGACAGUAGCAUCCUUCCCUCUGGUUCCUUCACUAUAACAGAGAUCCAUUUCAUGAGCUGCAAAAUUUCAAGACAUUUAGGAGUUCAUAUAUACUUUCCGUCAGGAACUGUUAAGGGUCAAAUUUACAUAAUAACCAAUAUCCUUUAAUGAAACAAAGAAAUCUGGCAUACCCCAAAAGACCAAACCAAGUAAAGCAUUUAGGGAUGUGUUUGUUUGAGGAAUGGUAAUGCAAACGCAAAUGUAAUCAGAUCAAGUUGUUAGCGUCAACAGAAUGGGAAAGAAAAAGAAACCUGUUUGUUUCAACCAAUGCAUAGACAAUCUAGUCAACAUUCCAACAUUUAUCAAUUCAUAGUACCCGAUGCAGAAAAAUACUCACAAAUCUUUUACUAAAAAAAUUCAUAGGACCCAGUAAUUAAUCUUGUAAUAAAAUCUAGGAACACAAGAGAUUGAAAUUAUCGUCAUGCAUUAGUUAGAUUUGGACAAAUUUUACAGCAAAGCAGUUAUACGGAAAUCCACAUGGGUUAUCCAAUCAAUUAUAUAGAACUCGACAAGGGUUAUCCACAUGAGGAAGGAGCUCAAGGUGGGGAUUUGGGUAGAGCCGGGGGUGAAUAGGCAUGGGAUCUGUUUACGCGGUAUUUACUUACCUUGCAUGGUUAACAAACACAUCUAACAUUUUGUGAUAAUGUAGUAAUCACAUAACGGAUUCUGAACCAACAAGUCGCAUAUAGGAGUAUAAAGAACACAUCAGCAGGUACACCAUUCUACCCAUUUUCUUCUCAAUGUCGCUUCUUUUAGAUGGCGGGUUGACAUGUGAGGAUGACCAAGGUACCGAGGAUGACAACUCUAUGAUCGUAAUUCGUAACCACAUAAAGCAACAUCAACUCGAGCAGGGCUGUCUCUCCACCUGUAUAGAAACAAUGAUUAAGAAUAGAAGACGCAUAGGCGGAUUUGUAUUACCUGGUUCUGGUUGAUGACGGGUCCAGCUGCUACCCAUGCGGCGUCAAUCUAGGAUAUGAACAUUGUUGUAGCAGCCGUGGAGACCGUGCGAAGCUGGUGAAUGGAGAGGAGGGUUGGGGAGGCUGCAACCGGCACGGGGAGCGAUGGGGACAGCGAGGCGGCAGCAUCGCAGGGCCACAUGGAGAGGAGGCUGGGGGAUGUGAGGCGCGGAUAGAGCACGGGGACGGGCAGAAUCCUAGUCGGGUCGGGCAGAAUAGAGCACGGGGACGGAGUGGUUGUACGGGAAGGAGCUAGGUUACCGCGAUGCGCCGCCCGCUGCGUCCCGCACUGCCGCCGCUACUCGACGGAGGAGAGUGAUCCCGCCGCCGCCGCCGCCGCCGCAGGUCGAUCCUGAUGCGCCUCACGCCGCCACCGCUCGACGGAGGAGAGGGACACCGGCGCCGCCGACGCAGGCCGAGCCUGCCGCAUCCCGCGUCGCUGACGCCGCUCGAGGGAGAGCGAACCCGGCGCCGCCGACGCAGGUCGAGCUUCGCCCGGCGGCCUCCUGUAGCGGCGGCGAGGAGGAGAGAGGAGGCCAGGAGGGAGGGGUGGGGAACGAUGGAGACGGGCGGAAUCUAUCCGCGAGCUGCGGGCGGGGGACACGAAGCGCGAAGAGGAUUGGCAGACCACGGCGUCUGCUGGGCAGAACUUUUCAUCUGAGACGUCGAUCUGGUUGAUACAUCAUUAGCGUAAUAUAGACUGUAGGAUGUGUUUAAGUUGACUUAAUCGGAGGGUCUUGAUUACUCCGUGUAUAAUUUGUUGGGUGGCUUUAGAGGGGUUUAUGUUUGCUCUUUUAAUAGUAGUAUAGAUGAUAAAACGCAUGAUUGCCGCGACACGUGUACUUUUUUGUGGGAAAACAUGCUGUUAGGUGCAGAAGUAAAGAACAUAUCGCAUGGAUGCUUGUUGGCAUGUGUAAAAUCAUCAGACCAAGACAGAAGAACCAUGAUUAUCAUAUGUACUGGAACUAAGAUUUACAUAGUGGCAGCCAUUGAUCUAGUUACUCAAGGGUAGUGCUACUGUUAAACAACAACUCUAAAGAAAAGUUACUGAAUCUACUAAAGUAGAAGAGAAUUCAGUUAUUUACCUGGGAAGCAACAUCACUUCAUUUCCAAUAGAAAUAUGACCAGUUCAUUUUCAAAGUAAAGAUACUCAUCCUUGAAAAGUGAAACAAAACUGCAGAAGAGCAAGGUGUCAAAAUCAGAUGAGAAAUUAGAUAUUGAUAGUUGAACUUGGCGAGCAUAGCAUAUGCUAAGAUCGGACAAUAUGAUUAAACACAACAAUGGAGCAAGUAUCACAAGUAAACCAACACUGACACACUUCUGUAAAGAUGGUCUGAAUAUUUCAGAACUAAGUCUUAGGGUUUGGGUUCAGGGAUGUGAAACUGCACCAAUCAUCCAAUUUACCGGCGGCGGCAACAUACAGCCGGUCAAAUGAAAAUUGCUGAAUUAAUAUCAAGCAAGAAAAAAGCAUGAGUUGCAGAUUUAGUGAGGUGAGAUGGGGCUGACCUGUAACUCACCAAUUGCUGAAAGAAAACUUGUGAUCAACUUCCUCCCUUUAGUAACAUCCACCUCCAAACUCUGGAAUCAAAUCAGAAAUCCAGAUGGGAGGAACGAAAAAAAUUGAUGUGAAUGAUCUUUACAGAAAACGAAAAAAACCACGCUUGACAUGUUUGUAAAUAAAAUAACAACAUGUAUGUAAUCCGUCAGGGAAAAUGAUAUUGCAAACAAAAAUGUUAAAUUUCUUCCUCUCUAAGG
rnacentral:lncRNA from 1 species